CUUAAAACUGCUGUUAAUCAUGCGUGGAUUUUAAUCGUACUCGAUUGAAAGUUUUACAUGGGCAUGUGGACAUCUCUUUCUCAACAGCAUAAGAUGGCGGAAGAAGGCGUCCCACAUUACACAGAAUGGACUCCAAGGCUCAUCAGAAAAUCAAGAAUUAGUAAUUUAUGAGUAUGAAGAUGAAUCCCGUGAAACAAGCACCAUUAUGAAUCUCAAGGGGUUGUCCCGUCAUCAGACAGAUAAGAAAUUACGCAUACAAGGAAUGUGAAAGGAUUUGCAAUACAUGGACAAUGAGCAGGUGUUCAUCACAGCAGGGAGCAAGGCGGAGGGACUAACCUGUGCAAUUUAGAGCGAUAUAGCAAUAUAGACACGAUAAUAGCACCAACAUGUGUUAUGUGCCUGGAAGAAUGCAGUGACCUUAGCUCGAUUCCUAUUCACAUCAUUCUAUUCAACAUGAAUUUACAAAGGACCAGUGCGGGAUAUUGUAGGUUACUACUUAGGAGACAAACUUCGGGAAGCCCGACUUCCAAUAUCAAUUUACUAUGUGAUGAUGGACAUGGCAACUAUGUAUUAAGCAGUACACUCUAUAUAGAACAGUUUGAAAGAUGCAAGUUGUCGCCGUGAACUGUCCGCCAUGAUCGUGCUGGUCCUUCGUUGCCAUGGUCUCAUGGUUUUUCGAGAUUUGAUUUGGUAAACGCCAAUUGAUGUCACUGUCCAGUCAUAAUGCAGACAUGGGCAAAUCGAACUCGUCAAUGGCCACCACCAGAGGUUGUAGAGAAAGUGGUUGCGAUGGGAGCUUUUGUUUCUCCUAUUGGUUAUAAAUGGAGCGCAUACAAUCAUAUGGAGUGGAGGAUAUGCUUUAAAACUGCCGAGACGGAGCUUGGUAAUAAUCUAAAAGACACGCAGGUCAAAAUAUAUGUUAUACUGAAGAUGAUCGUUAAUGAUAUAUUGAAGCCUCAGACAAAAGAGAUUACAUCAUAUGUAUUGAAAAACAUUGUAUUAUGGCUGUCAGAAAACCACCCAUAGACAAUUUUCAAAUUAGGAAGUUUGUUUCAUUGGCUUCACGAGGGACUGGAUAUGCAACGAACGGCUAUAUCUACGAGGAAGCUACCUUACUAUAUGAUACCUGAGAGGAAUCUUAUGGCAGAAAGGGACAUUGGGGAUUAGCAGCAGCGUCUAUGGGUAACAUCGAUCUCUUGUAUAAUGAACGAAGGACCUAGGGUGCUACUUAGAUUGAAGAAAUUACACCAAGCCAUUAUCUGCCAUCCCGAACCUCUACUUUGGUAUAGCAAGAUGAGGACUGAGAUAGAGAUUAUUUUCUUGAUGCGCAGAAACAGAACAGCGCAAUACACAGAUGUUAACUUCCUUGCUGAUGAGUCUGAAGCCAUGUUACAUGCUUUAGAUAUACGUAUACUUGAUAUCGUACAAGAGGUCAAGUGGCGCAUGGGUCAAGAAGGUAUUUCAUCAGUUGAUGUAUGCAAGGCAAUGCUUAGCUAAGUACUAAUUUAUUCACACAUAACCAAAUUAAAACAAGUUAAUUGCCUUGUUUUAAAAGUAAAGAAUAAUAAGUUAUUAAAGUCAUCUGAAUGAUAAUUAAGCAUUUUAUGUGUGAGAUACCGUAAUAUUUGCACACUGAAAGAUAACUAUACUGGUUUAAUACACAUCGACAAAUACCACGACAGUCGUUCUUUACGCGGUUUAUGUAUAAAAAAAUAUACACCAAUCCCAGGAAGAAAAUCGAUAUCAUGUAUGCUGUGAAUGAACGACACUAUGUCUAUGCAAUACUGCAAACAGUAUGAAAACAAUAAUAUAACAUAUUUCCACAACGAAACGAUAUGCGUUGAAUCUGUAAAAAGUAUUUAGCUUUCAUAAUUGUAUAAAACGAAUUUAGCUUGUAUGUGGGUUGGGACUAUUGCAGUAUUAAUCAUGGUUUUUCUGAAAUAUAUUCACACUCGUGAUGUUGUGUGCACAAACUGACAUAUACAUGUUUUUAAAGUGGACAAUGUGGUGUCUUGGUAUGUUAGCUAUCAACAGUUGCGCAAUGUUUCAUCGUCGCCAACAAUACUGUGGCUCUCCGUGUUAUUUCAAAGGUAUUAGACGUAAAUGUGUGAAUGUUUUGGAGCGCUUUGCCAUGUAUAAUCAGGAAGAACUCUUCAAUAGGCAUACGUUCUAUGUGAACCAAUAACAACAUA